GUCAUGAUCCCAGGGUCCUGGGAUUGAGCCCCACAUUGGGCUCUCUGCUCAGCAGGGAGCCUGCUUCCCCCUUUCUCUCUGCCUGCCUCUCUGCUUACUUGUGAUCUCUGUCAGAUUAAAUAAAAAAGGGGGUGACUUUGGAAGCUGUGUGUUGAAUACAGCAGAACCAUGAGAUGGAAGAGGCACGGGUCGCCACUGCCUAGAGGAGAGCCACCUGUCAAUCGGGACUAUGUGAAACUUGGACUCCUGGAAUGUUUCUUCUCAUGCUGCUGUUACUGUAGGGGAUUCCUAGGUGCUAUCGUUCCUUCUGGUACACAAAGCCAAAUUUAAGGUUCUUGAACCAGAAGAGCUUGGACUUUUGAGUUACCAAAACGAAGCCUUGGAGGCUUUAGACACAAUGUUUAUGCUGUGAGUCUUCGCUCUGGGAGAAAGCAUGCUCCCUCCAACAAGAUGGCUUCCUCCCAUGAACCAGCAAAGCCAAAGGAGAGAGGGAGUCCGUGAAUGUCAGAGCUCAGCAGCUAAUACCAAACCUGGGAGAACAUUCUGGGGAGAGCGUGAAGUGUGGCCUCCUGGUGUGGGAGAGGGAGGGGCCAAUGGCAUCCCCUGCAGUCCUUCUGUUGACUGUGCGCAUGCCUUCUUCUCAUGUGUUCCGUGGCUGUCUCAUCUUUAGCUUUGAUCUCGCCCUCAAGUUGUGUUUCUGUGCUGUAACUUUAUCGUGGGUGCAGUUCAAGUAUAGGAUAACCACGAGCUCCAGAAAGGUUUCUGCUUGAAUGUGAACCAUAUGACUCUCCAAGAGUUUCCCAAGAAUGGCAACCUCGCCCUCCUCCGCCAGCCACUGCUACCCACUCUCAGAUCCACUCUUCGUCCUUCAGCAAGUACAAUGCACCUCCGUUACGAGACAUUUCAACGUGACGUGCUAUGGACAUACCAUAUUCAUUUACUCCAACAUUGUUGUUUUUCCUUAUCUAAACUUAAUAUAUUUUUCCAUCUUUAGAGUGGUUUGGGUAACCUGGGUUGGGAUGGAAUGCUCAUAAUUUUCCCCAAUAAAAUUAA